rnacentral:snoRNA from 1 species
GUUUCGGUAUGUGUAUGGCAGGUCUGUCACCAUGGGUCUCUCAUAGUGCCUCAUGUCAGAGCAAGCUGGCCCCAAACCAUUGCCCCCACCCUUGCUAGUGGGCUGCGGUCACUGAAUUGGGCCUCAUAGUG